ACUCUCGGAACGAAGUUUAGUGACUGAGGGCGGACGGGUGAGUAACGCGUGGGUAACCUGCCUCACACAGGGGGAUAACAGUUUGGAAACGGCUUGCUAAUACCGCAUAAGCGCACAGUACCGCAUGGUACAGUGUGAAAAACUCCGGUGGUGUGAGAUGGACCCGCGUCUGAUUAGCUAGUUGGCAGGGCAACGGCCUACCAAGGCGACGAUCAGUAGCCGACCUGAGAGGGUGACCGGCCACAUUGGGACUGAGACACGGCCCAAACUCCUACGGGAGGCAGCAGUGGGGAAUAUUGCACAAUGGGGGAAACCCUGAUGCAGCGACGCCGCGUGAGCGAAGAAGUAUUUCGGUAUGUAAAGCUCUAUCAGCAGGGAAGAAGAAAUGACGGUACCUGACUAAGAAGCACCGGCUAAAUACGUGCCAGCAGCCGCGGUAAUACGUAUGGUGCAAGCGUUAUCCGGAUUUACUGGGUGUAAAGGGAGCGCAGGCGGAAGGCUAAGUCUGAUGUGAAAGCCCGGGGCUCAACCCCGGUACUGCAUUGGAAACUGGUCAUCUAGAGUGUCGGAGGGGUAAGUGGAAUUCCUAGUGUAGCGGUGAAAUGCGUAGAUAUUAGGAGGAACACCAGUGGCGAAGGCGGCUUACUGGACGAUAACUGACGCUGAGGCUCGAAAGCGUGGGGAGCAAACAGGAUUAGAUACCCUGGUAGUCCGCACGGUAAACGAUGGAUGCCCGCUGUUGGUCUGAAUAGGUCAGCGGCCAAGCGAA
rnacentral:rRNA from 1 species